rnacentral:rRNA from 1 species
UACGUAGGGUGCGAGCGUUAAUCGGAAUUACUGGGCGUAAAGGCGUGCGCAGGCGGUCUGUUAAGACCGAUGUGAAAUCCCCGGGCUUAACCUGGGAACUGCAUUGGUGACUGGCAGGCUUUGAGUGUGGCAGAGGGAGGUAGAAUCCACGUGUAGCAGUGAAAUGCGUAGAGAUGUGGAGGAAUACCGAUGGCGAAGGCAGCCUCCUGGGCAACACUGACGCUCAUGCACGAAAGCGUGGGAGCAAACAGG